GACGAACGCUGGCGGCGUGCUUAACACAUGCAAGUCGAACGGAAAGGCCCUGCGUUUGUGGGGUGCUCGAUUGGCGAACGGGUGAGUAACACGUGAGUAACCUGCCCUUGACUGUGGGAGAACUUCAGGAAACUGGGGCGAAUACCGGAUAGGAGCUCCUGCUGCAUGGUGGGGGUUGGAAAGUUUCGGCGGUUGGGGAUGGACUCGCGGCUUAUCAGCUUGUUGGUGGGGUAGUGGCUUACCAAGGCUUUGACGGGUAGCCGGCCUGAGAGGGUGACCGGCCACAUUGGGACUGAGAUACGGCCCAGACUCCUACGGGAGGCAGCAGUGGGGAAUAUUGCACAAUGGGCGGAAGCCUGAUGCAGCAACGCCGCGUGCGGGAUGACGGCCUUCGGGUUGUAAACCGCUUUCGCCUGUGACGAAGCGUGAGUGACGGUAAUGGGUAAAGAAGCACCGGCUAACUACGUG
rnacentral:rRNA from 1 species